rnacentral:lncRNA from 1 species
AGUUCUCUUGCAGGAUCUCCUUCCCAGCCUUCAGAAAUUGCCGGUCUGGGAGUUGGGGGCAAGGAGAAGAUCCUGCAACCCAGUGAUUCCAUGGAAAGCAGAAAGAAGGACAUAAAGAAACGGAUACUUGGUGACAUCUUUGACUCACUGGAUCAAACCUUGCCUGAAGCUCACAUUUCUGAAAUUUCCAGAUACAAGAACAAAUACUUCCUCUUUAUUGUUUUACUAGAUUUGAGACAAGCUUUAAGUUUCUCAGACUCUUCCUCUUCCUAACAGAUUUAUCAGAAGCUGAAAGCUCUGAUCUUGUUGGGAUGCGGAUCGUGUCAGGAGAAGGCUUACUUUGCACGCUUUUCUUAGUCUGGUUGCCUAACUCAAGAACCUCGGCAUGGCUCUGUUACUUCUCUACUCAGACAAGCAUCCCUGCAGACACUCACUAGGCUAACUCUGUCUUUAUUUUUAGAAUUAGACCUUUACGAGAAGCACAGUUUUGUCUUCAGUUUCCUCUCCCCCCACCCGGAAUGGCCUGAGCCGAAGCCAGCUCCCUCCGAGAAGUCAUUACCGCCUGAUGCUGGCUCCCCGUCCCCUGUCCACCAUGAGUCAAAGCAAUGUGAGUCCCUCACCAGAUGCAACUGCCCAGUCUUGGACUUUCCAGUGACCAGAAUCAUGAGCCAAAUAAACCUCUUUUCUUUAUGAAUUA